rnacentral:rRNA from 1 species
GACGAACACUGGCGGCGUGCUUAACACAUGCAAGUCGAACGAAGUGGCGAACGGGUGAGUAACGCGUAAUCAACCUGCCCUUCAGAGGGGAACAACAGUUUGAAACGACUGCUAAUCCCGCAUACUGAAGGAGGGGUUUGCGGUUGAUUAGCUAGUUGGAGGGGUAACGGCCCACCAAGUCGAUGAUCAGUAGCCGGGCUGAGAGGAUGAACGGCCACAUUGUGACUGAGAAACGGCCCAGACGCCUACGGGAGGCAGCAGUGGGUAAUAUUCGGAAAUUGACGAAAGUCUGACGGAGCAACGCCGCGUGAGUGAUGACGGCCUUCGGGUUGUAAAGGUCUGUUAAUCGGGACGCGGUACCGGAAUAGAAAGCCACGGCUAACUACGUGCCAGCAGCCGCGGUAAUUC